rnacentral:lncRNA from 11 species
CCGACUCGCAUGAUUUCAUUUCGUAAAUGCAAUCUAAAGUCUAAUUCUUCGGCCGAAGAAAUGAUAGAAUUGAUAAGUUGAAGGCACUCCACCUAUUAAUCAACAAGUUGCAAUUUACGCAUUUUAAUAAGUAGAGCAAUGAAUCGGCAAGGCGCGUCACGGCGCGGUUGUUUCGUGACCUUCGCACAAAUCAAGAUUGGUGCAUGCGAGCGCGUCCCUUCGGACAGAUAUUGAAUCAUAGAGUGAAAUGUUUUCUUGGGUUAACGAAUGAAUAGUAUCAAAUCGAAAAGUAGAAUCAAGUUAACGGCAUCAUCAUUGAGUCAUUGAACGGAUUGAAAGAAGGGAAAAUCGCAUUGGCCUCGAUAAUAUCCAAGAAGCGCGCCUGCGUAAUGAUUACAAGUCUAUCUACGAUCAACUAAAAUGCGGAAAAGAAUGUUGCUGUUGUUGUUGAUGACUGGUCUGAUUGCUAGAGAAAGGAGGUAUCAUACUAUGAUCUGCUCGUAAAAAUGGAGGUGGACAUAAAUUCGAAAGCGAUGGUUG